CAGAGGGUGAGGUAAAAGAGUCUCAGGGACAGGAAACAAAGGGUGAGGCAAAAGAGUCUCAGGGACAGGAAGCAGAAGGUGAGGUAAAAAAGUAUCAGGGACAGGAAGCAGAGGGUGAGGUAAAAUAGUCUCUGGGACAGGAAGCAGAGGGUGAGGUAAAAGAGUCUCAGGGACAGGAAGCAGAGGGUGAGGUAAAAGAGUCUAUGGGACAGGAAGCAGAGGGUGAGGUAAAAUAGUCUCUGGGACAGGAAGCAGAGGGUGAGGUAAAAGAGUCUCAGGGACAGGAAGCAGAGGGUGAGGUAAAAGAGUCUAUGGGACAGGGAGCAGAGGGUGAGGUAAAAUAGUCUCUGGGACAGGAAGCAGACGGUGAGGUAAAAGAGUCUCAGGGACAGGAAACAAAGGGUGAGGCAAAAGAGUCUCAGGGACAGGAAGCAGAAGGUGAGGUAAAAAAGUAUCAGGGACAGGAAGCAGAGGGUGAGGUAAAAUAGUCUCUGGGACAGGAAGCAGAGGGUGAGGUAAAAUAAUCUCAGGGACAGGAAGCAGAGGGUGAGGUAAAAGAGUCUCUGGGACAGGAAGCAGAGGGUGAGGUAAAAUAGUCUCUGGGACAGGAAGCAGACGGUGAGGUAAAAGAGUCUCAGGGACAGGAAGCAGAGGGUGAGGUAAAAGAGUCUCAGGGACAGGAAACAAAGGGUGAGGCAAAAGAGUCUCAGGGACAGGAAGCAGAAGGUGAGGUAAAAAAGUAUCAGGGACAGGAAGCAGAGGGUGAGGUAAAAUAGUCUCUGGGACAGGAAGCAGAGGGUGAGGUAAAAUAAUCUCAGGGACAGGAAGCAGAGGGUGAGGUAAAAGAGUCUCUGGGACAGGAAGCAGAGGGUGAGGUAAAAGAGUCUCAGGGACAGGAAGCAGAGGGUGAAGUAAAAGAGUAUCAGGGACUGGAAGCAGAGGGUGAGGUAAAAGAGUCUCAGGGACAGGAAGCAGAGGGUGAGGUAAAAUAGUCUCAGGGACAGGAAGAAAUAAAAGAGGAGAUGAAGGAAGAAUGAAAAUACUGAGAUUCAGGCAGCAAAGAAGAAGGAAAAUUGGAUUAGAAACAAGAGGGAAAUGUAGAGGAGGCAUUAGUCGUUGUGUGAUAUACUACAUAUACAAAAGUAUUUGGACACCCUUUCAAAUUAGUGGAUUCGGCUAUUUCAGACACACCUGUUGCUGACGUGUAUAAAAUCGAGCACACAGCCAUGCACUUUCCAUAGACAAACACUGGCAGUAGAAUGGCCCAUACUGAAGAGCUCAGUGACUUUCAACGUGGCACCGUUAUAGGAUGCCACCUUUCCAACAAGUCAGUUUGUCAAAUUUCUGCCCUGCUAGAGCUGCCCUGGUCAACUGUAAGUGCUGUUAUUGUGAAGUGGAAACAUCUAGGAGCAACAACGGCUCAGCCGCGAAGUGGUAGGCCAGACAAGCUCUCAGAACCAGAACGCCGAGUGCAGAAGCACAUAAAAAUCGUCUGUCCUCGUUUGUAACACUCACUAUCAAGUUCCAAACUGCCUCUGGAAGCAACGUCAGCACAAGAACUGUUUGUUGGGAGCUUCAUCAAAUGGGUUUCCAUGGCUGAGCAGCCACACACAAGCCUAAGAUCACCAUGCAAAAUGCCAAGCGUUGGCUGGAGUGGUGUAAAGCUCGCCGCCAUUGAACUCUGGAGCAGUGGAAACGCAUUCUCUGGAGUGAUGAUUCACGCUUUACCAUCUGGCAGUCCGACGGACGAAUCGGGUUUGGCGGAUGCCAGAAGAACACUACCUGCCCCAAUGCAUAGUGCCAACUGUAAGGAUUGGUGGAGGAGGAAUAAUGGUCUGGGGCUGUUUUUCAUGGUUCGGCUAGGCCCCUUAGUUCCAGUGAAGGGAAAUGUUUACGCUACAGCAUACAAUGACAUUCUAGACGAUUCUGUGCUUCCAACUUUGUGGCAACAGUUUGGUAAAGGCCCUUUCUUGUUUCAUCAUGACAAUACCCUAUGCACAAAGCGAGGUUCAUACAGAAAUGGUUUGUCGAGAUCAGUGUGGAAGAACUUGACUGGCCUACACAGAGCCCUGAC
rnacentral:lncRNA from 1 species